rnacentral:lncRNA from 1 species
CAAAUAUAAUAUUUUUUAAGAAUAAAUAGAAAAAAUUGAUAUAACUUAACACCAGCUCUCGUUAUGGUCUUGAUGGCAUGGUGCUUGCUUGUUCUCCAUGUCGUCAAGGCCUGUCUUCGAGAAGCGUCGGUACCAGAGGCUACAAUAGCAAUCAAAACAAAAUUACAGAAUCUGUAUCUUCUGCUUUGAAAUAGAGGUAUUCCAAAAUACCUCUCUUUUAUCCCAUAAUAAUAAUAAUAAGGAAAAUUAACAAAUUUCCAUAUGCCAUACCAUCACAUCCUUUUUUUUUUUUUUUUUGUAAAAGUCCAUUUAGUCCAUGUAUUUUAAUAUCAGUAUUCAUUUACUCUUUAUAUUUUUAAAAAUGUCUCGAAACAUCUCUGCCAUUAAAGUAUUGAUACCUCUACCGUUACUUUUUAUUUCUUUUGACUUACUUUUAUAAUAUUACCCUUUUACAAUAAUUUUUUAUUUGAACAUUAAUAAAAAAAUAAUUAAAUUACCAAUUUAACCCAGAAAAUUAAAAAAUUAUAUUAAUUUUUUGUAAGCACCAUUUGCACACUUGGUAGUUUGCAUACAAUUUUUGACAAUUAAAAAUUAAUAUAAUUUUUUUAUUUUUAGGGUUAAAUUGAUAAUUUAAUUAUUUUAUUUUAUUUAUUAAUGUCCAAACAAAAAAAUUAUUAUGAAAGGGUAAUAUUGUAAAAGUAAGCAAAAUGAAAUAAAAAGUAACGGUCGGGAUAUUAAAUUGGUAAUUUAAUUAUUUUCUUUUUUAUUAAUGUCCAAAUAAAAAAUAUAUAUGAUAAAAUGGUACUAUUGUAAAUGUAAGCGAAAAGAAAUAAAAAGUAACGGUAAGAAUAUUAAAACUUUAAUGGUAGGAAUGUUUCGAGGUAUUUUCAAAAAUAUAGAGACUAAAUAGAUACUAAUCUUAAAAUACAGGGACUAAAUGAGCUUUUACCUUUUUUUUUUGUUCAUUAUUUCAAAAUACCAAAGCAUCUUUUCAAAACAAGCUCAUCAUCAACUUGUUGAUAAUCAGAAAUUCUUUAUCAUCAAUUCAUUGCCAGAUUAAGCAUUACAGGAAACUAAGUGCCAUCAUGCUGUGUCCAAGUCUUCAAAUUAAUCCAUCAUUAUUUUCCUAAAAACAAGUAAACAACAAAGACUAAGCGACAAAUAAGUAAACAUCCAACUAAAGCUCCUUUUUUUACAAUUUUGCCUUUCCCAUUCAAUUGCAGGCAUUCUUUUUGUAUCAUACGGAACUUCAAUUUAAAAGUAAUUUGACACGGUUUAUAAUCCAUUUAGCAUGGUUUUAAUUUUUGAGAACAGCAACAGCUGGUGGCCAGUUCUAGGGAUGGCAAUUGUGAUUGUAAACCCGCAAAUUCGUCUAAACUCACUCGCCAAAAUCUGCCUGCUAUGGAUAAUUUUGCGGGUUGCAGGCGGGUUUGGUAUUAAUCCAAUAUCUGACGGAUACCUGCAUGGAUAUUCGCUAGACCCGUAAUAUUUUUUAAAUAUUUUAAAUUUAAUUUUAAUUGAAAAAAAAAUUAAAUCUAAAAAAUAUAUAAAGAAAAUAAUACAAUUAUGCAAAGUGCCAAAUACCCAAAUUGUUUUUGUAUGGACUAUUCUUUUUAACUUAAUGCAUGAAUUAUUUAGUUAUUAUAAUUUUUUUUUGGAUUUAUAUUUGAAAAGUAUUAUUCUUUGGAAAAUAUUAAUUUUAAUCAUUAUCAUAGGUAUCAUGUUAAAUAAGUGUGCUAAUGAUGGUGAAUGAAAUGUAGAUCUUCUCUUUGAGCUUGUGUUGAAUGAUAAUAUGAAAUGUAAUGUUAUUUUUAGAUGUUAGUCUGUGGGUUUUUUUAGUGGAUUUGUGUAUUUUAUAUUUAAAUUUGAUAAUUUGUGUUGGAUUAUUGUUUAAAUUUUAAUUUUUAUUUAAUUGGUUAAAUUUAAAAUUGAGUAUGUUAUGUGAAAUUUGAGGUUAUUAUUGUAAAUUUAUAUAUUGAACAUUUGUGAUUUUAAAUGUACAAACCCGCAAAAAAUUUGUCAGAUACCAUUGCAGAUUUAGUAAUUGUCAAAACCUGCAGCAGGUGGAUUUUCUUAAAAAAAUUAAAAUCCGCUGCGGUUUGCGGGUGGGUUUGGUAAUUUAAAUUUUGUGCGGGUUUGUGUUUGUGUUUGGUAAUAAUAAACCCGCUACAGCCGGUGCCCAUUGCCAUCCCUAACUAGUUCAUAUCUUUUUCUUAUAUAAACACUCUGCUCGGAUGGUCUCUUAGUGUCAAUUACAUUUUUCUCUUUUUAACAAACUACUCCAAUUCAAAAUCUCUCCGUUCUUCCAUUUCACCAAACUUUCUCGAGAAAAAUUUUAAUUUAAUGAAUCUUUUUUCUCUUUUCUAUAGAUUUACACACACAAAAAAAAAAAUGUAAUCUCAGUCUAAUGAAGAGAAUUAUAUAAUUGCAGUGUGUUGAGAAAAGAGAAAAAUUAUGUACUCCUUCAUUUACUAAAAAAACACAUUAAAGAUCUAAAGCAUAUAUUUAAAAAUACUACAAAAUUAAAUACAUUGCAUUAGAUUGUAUUUAUUUUAGCAUAUCCUUAACUUUAAUAUAGAUAAUAAUUUCUUAUUGAAAAUAAUAAUAAUAAUAAUAAUAAUAAUAAUAAUAAUAAUAAUAAUAAUUAUUAUUAUUAUUAUUAUUAUUAUUAUUAUUAUUAUUAUUAUUAUUAUUAUAUGUUGCAUAUUCUUUAGUGAUAUUUUUGUUUCAUUAAGUGAUUCUUUAAUUUUAAAUUUAUGCAAAAAGUCAAAUGUUAUUUAAUUGUUUUUGACAUUUUUAUUUUAAAUGGUUUGUAUUUAUUUACCUGAAAAUCCUAUUUUGCCUUCAAUAAAUUAUAAAGUAAAUUAAUUGUAAAUUCACGGAAAGGCAUUUUGGCUUAUUAUUUAGAUAAUAAGAAUGAAAUGGGCUAUUGUUUGAAAAAAAAAAAAAAGGAUUAUUGUAUCAAAGCCCAUGAAUGAAAAAGGUUUUUUUUCAUUUUUAUAAUGCAUUACAUUAUUUGCCUUAAUUUAUUUUUCAAAUUUAUAAUUCAAAGCUUGCAACAAAAUCUAAAAAAACUUGUAUUUUAUCAGGAGACCUAUCAGAUUUUAGCCAUUAUUUAGGUCUUCAUCAAAUAUGCAUUUCUUUAUUUUAGAUUUUUUUGUGACAUAAGUAUUAUCUUUCUUACUUUAGUAAUUUUUAGCAUCAACUAUUAUACGUUUCAAACGCUAGAAUACCAAUUUUUCUUUGUUAAUGUAUACCUUUACAAUCGAUGAUGCUAUGUCGAAUCCAGCAUUUACUUUUUCUCAAAAAUUUUACUAUUUAUAUAAUUUAAUUAUGUAAAAAAAAUGCAAAAAUGUCUCCAUAAUUGUUACUUCCCCAAUAUUAUUAUUCAUGACCGUAAUUUUGCACGUACUGAAAAUAAAUAAGCCACAACAACAAUAGUAUACAGUAUCUCUAUCACACAUCUUUCGAGUGUUCUGUACAUGUUAUAUAUGAAAGUAUGCAUGUAUUAUUUUUUUUAAUGACUGUGCAUAGAUGAAAUGUUGUUGAAAAGUGUUCUUUUUUUUUUUCAAUUUUUUGUGUCACAUGGUAAUGUCAAGCUGAUUUUUGGUUCCAGUAACAUGAGUUGUGCAGGCAAAAGAAAAGAAAAAAAGAUGUAUGCCAGCAUCACCAAUCUUCUUAUGAACUUGGUGGUAUGGUGCUUGGAGCACCUUACAACUUGGUCUUAGGUUCGAGAAGAUUGGUAGCCAAAUUCAGUCCCACUCCAUUAUGAUCCCCCCAUCAUCAUCAUAUCCAACGUUCCAAUUUAAAUGAGGUAUUCGAAAAUACCUUCUUUUUGUCACAAAAGUUCCUUUAUUCUUUUUCAAGUAAUAUAUGAGAAAACAGGAUCACAAGUAUAUGAUUUCAUCAUUUCUUCUUAGCUAAAAUCUCCCAAUUCAAAAUAUAUUAGAUGAAUUGAUUAUGUUGCACAUCAUGUCAUUUUCUUUUCGCUUCAUUUGUACAUGAGGAGGAAGUAAUACUCUUUUAGUUAGUCUUAAAAUUUGAGGUAAUUACUCAAUUAAUUUAUAUGUCGUUAAUUUCCUAAUUGUUGAUCUAGGUUUUUAAGGUAAAAUAAUAAUUCUAUUUGAAAUAAUUAUAAAUUGAAAUAAAGUUGAUGUGCAACAUGUGAAAAGUAGCGAUAGAUACUUAAAUUAAAUGCUCAUUGUGUGUCAUUAUUAAAAUUAACAAGAAAAUUCACAAACCACAAAAAAUUGUACGACUAAGAAUUAUGUUUACACCGUGAUGAAGAAAAUGGGUGUGAAUGACCUUUUAACAUAAUGGAAAAAUAAACUAAUAAAUUUUACAGAACAAAGAAUAAAAUAAAACACAAUUAAUUACCGGCUCUCAUCAUGAUCUUGUUGGUAUGGUGCCUACAUGUUCAUCAUGUCACCAACCAUGAGUUUGAGGAGAGCUAGUAUCAUCAAACUAGAAGCAAUGAACAGGAUGUAUAUAUCAUUGCCAUUAAAUACACCCUUUUUUUUUUAUCACAAAUGCAAAAAAGUUAUUAAAAUGUGUGCACAGACCUUCUUUUAUUAAUCCUUUUUAUUUGUUUAAGGACAUCGAACCACAUCGAACGUAGAAUAGCAGUUAUUUUUUUUUUUUUUUUGAGAUAUGUAAUAGUGAGAUUUAUAUUACGAACGCAGUAAUAAUAAAGCCACGCAUAUAAUGGUGAUCUUAAUGAUCUAAGUUGAAAAGAAGUCUAUGCAUCCAUUUAUGAAAUAUUAAAUGUAACGACUUGUAUAUUAAAAGUAACUUUGAAGGGAUAUAAAUAUCUUUUCCCAAUUUAGAAUUAAAAAGGUUUUUUAUUUUUUAUUUUUGCAAGGUUAUGCUUUAUUCACAUCAGUUGAGAUUGAAGAAAUUUCCAGUUGGCUUGCAUUAUGUGAAAGAGUAUUAAUUACUGUCACAAAUAUGAGAGUAUAUAGUCGCAUUUGCACAUGCCAAGGACAUUAAUAAAUGAAACAAUAACACAAAUCUUUUUUUUUUCUAAGGCUCACCUUGAUCAGCCUGAAUGCAAUGGAAAUUUUGCUAAGUCAUUUUAAGUGAUUGCCUCGGAACAAAAUAAAAGCUGAUUCAUUUGCGGCAUAGCCCACCUAUUAUCCCGCGAGAUAUCAAGCAGGCAAACGGGAUUCUGAUGAUGAUAUUGAUUCCAGGAUUACAGAUUUUGGGCUUGUAGAGGCAAUGCCUGCUGCUCAUACACAUAUCAAUGCUUUGAAUGUUGCCGGGACUGCGGAAUACAUAGACCAGGAGUGUCAUCUGAGGGGAUAUUUACAAGUGUGAUUUAUACAGCUUAAUGAGGAAAUGCAUGAGUUUGGUCAAAUGAAUGAGAAAUGAUAUGACUUCUGAGGAUUGUAUUCAAACCAUUGAUCCUGAAGCUCCUAGGAAAGCGGUUAGUGGAACAAGAACGUAAACGGAGGCUUCAAAUGCAUUUUGUUUCUUCUUUUUUUUUUCUCUGUGCACUGUCUAUACAGUGAUAAAUUUACUGAAUAUAUAUGCCUAUUGCCCAAAACUACAAGAUCAAAGAGAGUAAUGCACAUAAAUUUGUAUUUCAUCCUUUGCUGUUAAUGCAAGGGCUGAGAUUUCAGGGUGAAUAAUACUGAUACAAAAGUAAUGGGGUUGAUUAUAUACUUCAGUUUUAUUAACUGUUCAAUCCAGACCUUAAUUUUUUAAUUCCAAUCUUGACCAUUAAUCUUCUUAAAUCAUAACACAUUUCAUCCUUCUAGAAGCAUCAUGAACUAUCUUGUUGAAUGCUCGCUGGUGACUGUUUAGCUCCUAAAUUUAAUACUCGCCAAGAGACACUUCAUUUAGGCAUUUCAUCAGACGGUUUUAUACUUCCAUCAAACGAUUGUUGCUUUAACUAUUUUUUAAAAAAAAGGUUUGUUGACUGUUGAUAUCACCAAACCUCUUAGAACUCAGUGUUAUGCUGCUUCAAGAACCAUCUAACUUGGAAUUAUGUUCGAGAAGGUUGGUAGCUAAAUUUAGUUCAGCUCCGUUAUGAUCCAUCUUCAUCAUAUACAACUUCAAUUAAUGAGCCAUUCGAAAAUCAAUAAUCUUAUGUAUACUUAAUUGGGAUAUUUAAUUUAUAUUUUAGUAGUGUGACAAAUGAUACGUUAUUAUUUGAUUGGUUCAAAUGAUAAUUAAUUAUUAAGUCUUAUAAUAUUUUAUUCAAAUGGUGAAAUUUUUUUAGUGAUACAUCAUACAUUAGUUGAGAUAUAAAUUAAAAUAUUCUAAGUAAGUACAACAUCACUCUUUAAAAAUUAACUUGUUUUAAAUGCAAUUUGUUUAAAAUUCUUUUUCAAAUAAUAUAUGAAAAAAGCAUUGGUUUCAUUUCAUCAUUUAUUUUUAAUUCAGAAGUUAGAAGUCAAAAUAUAACAGAUAUUACAGAACAAAAUAUAAAAUAUGAGACAAUUUGCCACCGGCUCUCAUCGCGAUCUUGUGGGUUUGGUGGCUUUAGGUUCUGCAUGUCACUAAUCGCGAGUUCGAGGAGAGCUGGUACCAAACUGGAAGCAACGUACGGGAACCAUAUAUAUACAAAUAUAUAUUCUUCCACAAAAAGAGGUAUUACAAAGUACCUUCUUUUUGCAACAAAUGCAAAAAGUUUAUUUUCUAUUGAUUUCUUAUUAAUAAGAGAUUUGAAAAGUACAAACACCUUAUUAUAUAUAAGCCUACUUUCUUUUGUUUGAGGUUAUCAAACCUUUAGUCAUAAUCUUUUUUUACUUUUUUUUUUGUCAUCUAUACAACGAUAAGAUUUACAUAAUGAAAUAAGUAACAAUAAAACCACACAUACGGAGUUGAUCUUAGUGAUCCAAGAUGAAAUGGAAUUUGUGUAUCUAUUCAUAAAAUGUUAAGUGUAAUGACAUUUUUAUUAUGGCAAAUUUUGAGAAUAUAAACGUCCUUUUUCCUGCGUUAGAGACUUUUGGUGGGUAUUUAUAAAAAUAUACUUUAAUCACAUCACUAGAGAUUGAAGAAAUUUGAGAUCUUACGAAGGAAUUAUAUCUUUUCUAAAAGAAAAAAAAAAUACAAUAAUCUUAGUAACAGUUUGAUAAUACUAUAACUUUUGUAAUAAUUAUUGUUAAUUGUGUUGUAGAAAUAAUAAGUUGAGAAGAAAUCAAUUAAAUGUUUAGUAAUAUUUAUUUUAAAAGUACCUUGGGUUUUGAGAGUAAUCGUAUAUAUUUAGUAAAUUUUUCUAUUAAAUUACUGUAAGAAUAUAAAUUGCUGUCAAAUAAAAUUUAUUUAUAUAUUUAUAAACAUGUAUGUAAAAUAUUUUUGUUGUAUAUAUAAUAAUUGAUAACUAAAAUAAAUAUAUCUAUAUGAUUAAUUUGAUUUUUAUUUUGUUAUCCCAGUGUAAUUGUCAAUAAUAAUAACCCCUUUAAUUUUAACGAUUUAUCCUAAUCAGUAAGGAUAAUUUUUGGAUUUUUAGAAUACUGUGAUGAUAUUUAUAAAAUUAUAUUAAGUAUAAAAAUGGUUUAAAAUCAGAUUUUGAAAAUAAACUCAUUUCCUACUUUUUCAAAAUAUGCUAUAGAAUAUGGUAGUUUGCCAAUUUUUUUUUUAAAUUUAUCAAAUAUCAAAAUUAACUUUUAGCUUUUCAAAAAGACUUUUAAGCCUUCCAAAUGUAAUUCCAAAUGGACCCUCACUAUUUGAAUAUGAUCGGAAAAAAUAAUAUUAUAUUAAAAAAUCAAAAGUAAUAAUUUAUAGCAUUAAGGUGUCGUUUAUUCUUUUGUCUACAAUUUGAAUGGGUCUAAAUUUUUCUAAGGUCUAAAUAUAAAUGUCCAAAUGACAUUUUUUUUAAAUGUCUCAAUAUAUGUGGUGUCUUGUGUGUUUUUGUGAAUAAAAAAAUCUUAAAUACGAUUUUUGAUAUUUAUAUUCUUAUAAAUCAAAAGAGAGAGAGAGAGAGAUUAGGUUUUAUAACUUAAUAAGUUAGUAUACUUAAUACAUAUUUAUUUUCUAUUUUGAUAAAAAAUCACAAAAAAUUAUUUUUUCUUCAGUUAAAAAAAAGAAAAUUUAAAAAAAGUAUGAAAUUAAUAAAAUUUUCAGACUUGACGUUUUAUAGAUAGAAGCCAUUUUAAUUUAAGACAUAACUUAAUUGAAGAGAGGUAUACAAACCUAUGUUUUCUUUAAGACAUAAACUUAAUUAAAUUCAUUUGAGACCACUUAUGGCUACCAUAUAAACUUAUUUGAUAACUAGGCAAAUGAAGUUACUUUCCAAGCAUUAAAAAUAAUAUUUUUCUUUUUGAUAAAUAAACUUGCCAAAAUUUAAUUUCAUUGGGAUAACUUAUUUGAUGUUUUCCAAUUAUAUGCGAGUAUAUAGUAAACAAAACUAUUUAUUGAGAAAAGCUUUGUUCAAUCUUUGUCUUAUUUUGUUAGAUUUAUAAGGAAUUGCUUUAGUCACAGCGCUUGAGAUUGAAAAUCAAAAUUGAGAUAUUACGUAAUAAUGUAGUAAACUAGGAAAAAUAAUCAAACAUAUAUGUUGAAUUUGAAUUAUUGGAAGCACAGAUGUUGGAGUGUGUGUGUGUGUAUAAAUGUGAAGUAAGUGACUUAAAUGACUGCCAACUCUCGUGUCUUAGUGGCAUUGGGACUUCCUAAUAAUUAUUUCACCUUGUCAUCGAGUCCUGCUUUCGAUAAGCGUUGGUACCAGAAGCUAGCAAAGUAUCUGUCUCUGCUUUAAAAUAGAGGUAUUCUAAAAUACCUCUUUUUCAUUAUAUAUAUAUUUACUUAAAUCUUAUUUAAAAAAGUAAAAAAUUAUCUUUGAUUUUCGUUGAAAAUUUAUUAAUUCGAUUGAAUAUAAAAUUUUCAUACCCUUUUGUCCAUCUCUUGCUUCCAUUUUACAAGUCAAAUUAGGGGACUCUCUUGAGAUAAUGAUAUAUACAGUUCAUUAAUUAGUUUUUAAAAUAUAACUUGUUAAUAUUUGAUUUUAAAUUAUAACUCAACGCAGUUUAAUUCAAUUUAAAUUUAACAGAAUUUUGGUAUAUUCUACUCAUUUGGUUGGCCUCUCUUGUUGUUGGAGAAAAAGGUCACGGGCUCAAUUCUAAAGUUAUAUAUAUCAUACAUUUAUAUGAAUUAUGACCGUCAUGUUGUAGUUUGGCAAGUCAUGAGUGUGCUUUAUGCGUCUAGUUGUCUGAGUUCUAAUUAAUAAGAAUAUGAAUAAUAAUUUGGUGUACUUAGGGAUACAUUAUAUCAUUUCUUUUGGAACUAUUUUAACAACAAUGAUGGCAUGUCAUGGUGCAUAGUUUGGAGUGCUUCAGCAAGUAUGAAGGUUUCGGAAGAAACAAAGGAAACAGAGUCUUCUAUCAUCAAAACUAAUAUUACGAGUUAUACAAGUUUUUACCUUAAAGUAAUACUGUGUAUAGUUCAAUCAUCAGAAGCUGUUAUGAUUAGAAGCUCAUGGUGAAUGCAAAUUGCAGUAACAUUGUGAGAGACCGGCCUUCUAAGAUUCGAACAUAGGUUUUGGUUUCAUAAUCCCACCCCUAUUAACUUAUAAUUUUUGCAAAAAAAAUAUAAAACACAGUGAAAAAAAAAAUCAAUGUUUCACAGCCCAUACCCCGGGGUUGAUCUGGAAUUGAGCCUUAUAUGAGCCUUAAAAUGCCGUACACAAUAAUGCAUAUCAGUAAAAGCAGAGAGGAAUCGAUUGAAAGCUACAUGUCAAAGAUACAGAGAAGAAACAAUAUCUACAUUCAUUACAUACAGAUUAAAACACCAAAAAUCAAAGAAAAGAAAAAGUAUUCCAACAAUAAUUAUGUCUCUAAUAUUUAUGAGCUUAGUUACAAUUUCUUUUGGGUCGAUCCUCUAGUAAUUCACUUUGUGCAUUCAGGGUAUGUUUACUUCUUAAAUUAGGGAAUGAGAAUGAGGAAUUAUUACCUUUGUGUGUAUUUAUUUAUAAAAAAAUGAAUCAAUGAAUGAGAAUUAAAAUGGUGAUAACCACUAAAUUUAAAAAUAAGAAAUGAAAAACUCAUUUCCAUAAGUAUACAAGAUAGUAGUAGAACAACAACAACUACUACUAAGGAAUUUUAUAAACUUAUAACAAUCUAUUCCGAUUCUGAUAAACACAUCAAUGGAAGUACAUUUCAUUAUGAUUUUUAUUCAUACAACUUAAGUAAACAACUUAUUUUGAUUUAUAUUUCUUAUUUCAAUUCAAAUAUAUUCCAAUUACCACGAAGUAAACACAGCAGUAGCGAAAGUCAAGACUAAAGUGUCGCGGGCAUAGAUUUUAAUAGUGAUAAGUAAUAUUUAUCUUUAACAUUAGUUGAGUGAGUGCAAUUAGUAUUUAGAAUGGGUGUAAAGAAAGUACAACGAAAAAUGUAAUGUGCAAUUAAUUUCUGUUUAUCGCGAUCUUGCUCUUAGUUUUGAAAUCUAAUCCCAAAAAUUACGAUACACCUAUGAGUACACAAACAUAGCCCAGAAACGACGUUGCUUCUUCUUCUCCCUCAUCUGUUGUUGCUGCACGUUGCUUCUUCUUCUUCACUCAAUUUUUUUCAACAUCAUGAAUCUGCGGUACUUUUUAUACUUUUUUCACCAGAUUUUUAUCUCAUUAAAAGAGAAUUUUGGGCGUACGAUUAUUAGGGUUACAUUUGUUUGAUCAAAGUUGAAAUUUCCAUUAAUAUUUGAAAUUAAUUGGUGAAUUAAAUUUAUGAUCCGUGUGUGAAUUAUUGAAAUUAACUCUUCCAAAACUUUUUUUUUCUAAAUUUUAUUGCGGGCUGAUUUAGAGUUGAUUAAUCUUAGGGGUCUUUUGUAAUAUUUUUAAAGUUUAGGUCGCUCUAUAAUUAGAUGUGAGCUCUAAGAUUAAUAUUUAAUUAAAUGUGAGCUCUAAGAUUAAUAUUUUCUAUAGACUAAUGCUUUCUAAACACUAAUAAAGACAUAGAUGAGAUGAGAGAAUAGAGAUCGAUUCCUUUAGUUUAAGUUAGGACAUUAGGCUUAGGCACGCUACAUGCACGUUUACAUUUAUUCACUAAUAUAUUUUUAGGCUUAUAUAUUUUUAAUUAAAAUUUAAAAAAUAUUUUUAAAAAAAUGCAAGUCUGAAUACCCAUGCUGUUAUGCACUAAAUAUUUGGCAUAUACCAAACACACCGGCAACUUCGUAUGGGUUUUAGUUUAAGAUACCAUACCCGCCCGCAACACACAAAAUUACCCAUAAAGAGUAGGCUUUGGCGGGCGGAUUUGGUUGGGUUUGUAUGUUUGUAGGUACCAUUGCCAUCCCUAGUUCUAGAAGAGAUGACAAGUUGCCUAUUUUUGCCUUCAGCUACAACCUUCUGUGAACUGAGCAUUCGAGUGGAAAUGUACCAAAUACUAUCUUAGACGAUGGCCUCGGGAGGUCUAUUGCCAAAACAUAGAAAACUAAAAACUUAGAUCCUAAUAUAUAAACCGGCAAAGUGAAUUUGAUAUUUGUCAAUUUAUGUACACACACAUUAAUCAAAACUAUUUAUUGAAAAAAAAAAGAUUUUUUCCAAUCUUUUCUCAUGUUAAUUAGAUUUAUAAGGGCUUGCUUUUUAUUCACAUCACUUGAGAUUAAAAAAAAAUUGAGAUAUAUAUAUAUAUAUAUAUAUAUAUAUAUAUAUAUAUAUAUAUAUAUAUAUUACUUAAUCAAACCAUAUAUACUUUGCAUGUGAAUUAAUGGAAAAACAAAUAUAAUAUUUUUUAAGAAUAAAUAGAAAAAAUUGAUAUAACUUAACACCACCUCUCGUUAUGGUCUUGAUGGCAUGGUGCUUGCUUGUUCGCCAUGUCGUCAAGGCCUGUCUUCGAGAAGCGUCGGUACCAGAAGCUACAAUAGAAACCAAAACAAAAUGCAAGUACCUGUAUGUUCUGCUUUGAAAUAGAGGUAUUCUAAAAUACCUCUCUUCUAUCCGAAAAAAAUAAUAAUAAUAAGGAAAAAUAACAAAUUUCCAUAUGUCAUACCAUGACAUCCUUUCUUUCUUUUUUUGGUGUUCAUUAUUUCAAAAUACCAAAGCAUCUUUUCCAAAACAAGCACCUCAUCAACUUGUUGAUAAUCAGAAAUUCUUUAUCAUCAAUUCAUUGCCAGAUUAAGCAUUACAGGAAACUAAGCGCCAUCAUGCUGUUGUCCAUGUCUUCAAUUAAUCCAUCAUUAUUUUCCUAAAAACAAGUAAACAACAAAGACUAAGCGACAAAUAAGUAAACAUCCAACUAAAGCUGUUUUUUUUUACAAUUUUGCCUUUCCCAUUCAAUUGCAGGCGCUCUUUUUGUAUCAUACGGAACUUCAAUUUAAAAGUAAUUUGACACGGUUUAUAAUCCAUUUAGCAUGGUUUUAAUUUUUGAGAACAGCAACAGCUGGUGGCCAGUUCUAGGGAUGGCAAUUGUGCCCACAAACCCGAAAAUUUGUCCAAACCCACCCGCCAAAAUCUGCCCGCUACGGAUAAUCUUGUGGGUUGCGGGCGAGUUUGGUAUUACAAAUUGAAACCCGCACUUAGAUGCGGGUGGGUUUGGUAUUAAUCCAAUAUCUGACGGAUACCCGCAUGGAUAUCCGCUAGACCCGUAAUUUUUUAAAUAUUUUUAAUUUAAUUUUAAUUGAAAAAAAUAUUUAAAUCUAAAAAAUAUAUAAACAACAUAAUACAAUUAUGAAAAGUACCAAAUAACCAAAGUGUUUUUGUAUUGACUAUUUUUCUUUAACUUAAUGCAUGAAUUAUUUCAUCAUUAUAAACUUUUUUUGGAUUAAUAUUUGAAAAUUAUUAUUCUUUGGAAAAUAUUAAUUUUAAACAUUAUCGUAGGCAUCAUGUUAGAUAGGUGUGCUAAUGAUGGUGAAUGAAAUGGAAAUAUUCUCUUUGAGCUUGUGUUGAAUGAUAAUAUGAAAUGUAAUUGUUAUUUUUAGAUGUUAGUUUGUGGGUUUUUUUAGUGUAUUUGUGUAUUUUAUACUUAAAUUUGAUCAUUUGUGUUGGAUUGAUGUUUAAAUUUAAAUUUUUUAUUUAAUUGGUUAAAUUUAAAAUUGAGUAUGUUAUGUGAAAUUUGAGGUUAUUAUUGUAAAUUUAUAUAUUGAAUGUACAAACCCGCAAAAAAUUUGUCAGAUAUCAUUGCAGGUUUGGUAAUUGUCAAAACCCUCAGUGGGUGGAUUUUCUUAAAAAAAUUAAAACCCGCUGCGAGCGGCGCCCAUUACCAUCCCUAACCAGUUCAUAUCUUUUUCCUAUAUAAACACUCUGCUUGAAUUGUCUCUUAGUGUCAAUUACAUUUAUCUCUUUUUUACAAACUACUCCAAUUCAAAAUCUCUAUGUUCUUCCAUUUCACCAAACUUUCUCGAGAAAAAUUUUAAUUUAAUGAAUCUUUUUUCUCUUUUCUAUAGAUUUACACAAAAAGAAAAAUGUAAUUUCAGUCUAAUGAAGAGAAUUAUAUAAUUGCAGUGUGUUGAGAAAAGAGAAAAAUUAUGUACUCCUUCAUUUAUUUAAAAAAAAACACAUUAAAGAUCUAAAGCAUAUAUUUAAAAAUACUACAAAAUUAAAUACAUUGCAUUAGAUUGUAUUUAUUUUAGCAUAUCCUUAACUUUAAUAUAGAUAAUAAUUUCUAAUUGAAAAAAAAUGAUGAUGAUGAUGAUAAUAAUA